GGCGCACGGGUGCGUAACGCGUAUGCAAUCUACCUUUUGCAGAGGGACAGCCCAGAGAAAUUUGGAUUAAUACCUCAUAGUAUAGUACCUUCGCAUGAAGGAUCUAUUAAAGUCACAACGGCAAAAGAUGAGCAUGCGUCCCAUUAGCUAGAUGGUAAGGUAACGGCUUACCAUGGCAACGAUGGGUAGGGGUCCUGAGAGGGAGAUCCCCCACACUGGUACUGAGAUACGGACCAGACUCCUACGGGAGGCAGCAGUGAGGAAUAUUGGACAAUGGGCGCAAGCCUGAUCCAGCCAUGCCGCGUGCAGGAAGACGGUCCUUGGAUUGUAAACUGCUUUUGUACAGGAAGAAACACUACCUCGUGAGGUAGCUUGACGGUACUGUAAGAAUAAGGAUCGGCUAACUCCGUGCCAGCAGCCGCGGUAAUACGGAGGAUCCAAGCGUUAUCCGGAAUCAUUGGGUUUAAAGGGUCCGUAGGCGGUUUAGUAAGUCAGUGGUGAAAGCCCAUCGCUCAACGGUGGAACGGCCAUUGAUACUGCUAGACUUGAAUUAUAAGGAAGUAACUAGAAUAUGUAGUGUAGCGGUGAAAUGCUUAGAGAUUACAUGGAAUACCAAUUGCGAAGGCAGGUUACUACUUAUGGAUUGACGCUGAUGGACGAAAGCGUGGGUAGCGAACAGGAUUAGAUACCCUGGUAGUCCACGCCGUAAACGAUGGAUACUAGCUGUUGGGGGCAACUUCAGUGGCUAAGCGAAAGUGAUAAGUAUCCCACCUGGGGAGUACGUUCGCAAGAAUGAAACUCAAAGGAAUUGACGGGGGCCCGCACAAG
rnacentral:rRNA from 1 species